UGCGCUUAACUGUUGAAAUACACACAGAGAUCAAGCCGAGCUCAGGGCGUCUCGUUAGUACCGCUAAAAUUCCAUUAAGUGACGUCCAUACGAGAUUGCAAUGACUCUCAGCUCUAGAGCGGUAAUGUUAGCUUCUCAAGACGACACAUGAGCGGUUUCAGCGUUGUUCUCGAAACUCGACAGAUAUUCUUUACCCGCCGGUUGUGCAGUUGAAGUGCGAUGGCCGACCGAGCUUGCAGAAACUUUCAACCGAAUAUUUUCAACAAGAACAAAUGUCAGAAUUGUUUUAAGCUACAGGAGGCUCAUAGAUCGUCACAGAGUAGUCUGGAUCUAAAGGGCUCAAAGCCGAAAACCGUCGUGAAAUCGGGAAAGCUUUCGCUGACAUAUAUUUCUCAUGAUGUUCUAUCGCAAGACAAGACGAAGGCCCAGCAAACGAAAUGGCAGCGAAGAUGGUUUGUUCUUAAUUCAGCAGGAGUCCUGGAGUAUUUUAUUUAUGACGACUCACACGGAGCAACUGAUAUACAAGUUGGUAACAUUAAUGUCCAUGACUGUACCAAUAUAUUUAAUGGAGAGUCAGACACAGGCGAGACAUUCUCAAUCGGACUAAAAUCUGAAAAUGUUAACUACUAUCUGAAGGCCGAGAACAGACUAGAAAUGGACAACUGGUCGCGGGUGCUGAAGCCCUAUAUCCAGAGUACUAAUGACAUCAAGGCAUCUUUGGCGACUCGUGUUGAGAAGGACUCAAAAGAGCCCAUUAAAACAGAAAAAACACCUAUUUCUUCAUUUACUCGCAAGCCCAGCCUUGGUAAGACAACCUUGUCGGACAGAAAGCCAACAGAUUCCAUUGAUGGUCCCACAGCAGCACAUGGAUCAAUAUCCAGCUGUCAGCGAAGCUUAGGGAAGACCACCCUAUCAGGUCGCUCAACCCCUUCUGACUCUAGUGAUAUUUCAGCAUUCACAUUGACACGUAAGUCAAGUCUUAGCAAGAACACUUCAUCUACCUAUUCAUCUACUGACUCCAUCGAUGAAGCAGACUCUACAGCAUCCUCAUUCAGCCGCAAGGGAAGCGUUGGCCGAACAACACCCGCUACCAGGCCAGCAACACCACCUCGUUCAUCCAGCAAUCACCCCAGGACCAAGUUUGGGCCAAUUGACAAUGACCAACACCCCUCGGUGGAGUCGUUCAAGCAGCAGAUCGACAAACUCGAACAAGAGAACCGCUCCCUAAAAGAGCAACAACACCAGCAGCCGCCUGCGAGCGCCAAGCACCGAGAGGCCAUCCAUAUUCUGGAGCAGGACCUUAAGGCCAAGACAAACAGAGUUAAGGAACUAGAGCGAGACCACGCCAAGUGCAGGGAUUACCAGAAAGCCGUCAUAUUCCAGGAAAAGGAGCUCCAGGAAGCGCGGAGUACCAUCAGGGAACUUCGCCAGCAGCUGGCAGACGCGGACAAGAGACUUAAGCAGCAAAAGGGAAAGGUGAGUGUCCAUGCGAAAGAUCUGGCAGAGGCCAAAGCCGACUUGGAGGAGGCCAACAGUAUCAUCAGCAUCCAUAAGGCAAACAUCGAGGCUCUGAAAGAGGAACUGAGCAGCGUGAAACAGGUCACUGCGGAGCGUCAGGGAAGGAUCAUCCUUACUGAUGAAGAGCCUGAAAGCGAUCAAUUCCUGAACGCCCUGGAGGCAAGCGGGGAGAACGGUCAGAAAAAGGACAUCGAGAGCAAACUAUCUUACUUGAUGGAGAAAUUACGACUCAACGAACGUGAACUUCUCGUUAAAACACGUGAGCUUGAAAAGGCAAAUGAGAGUCGGUCCAAGGUAGCUAAGUACACGAGAUCUUUAUUACAAGAACUCGAAACAAAGCUAAGUAAUAACGAACGAAAGCUGGCAGAGACGGAAAAUCAGUUACAAAAUAAAAACCUCGAACUUGAGUACGAAUACGAGCAAAAAGCAAAGAUUGAAAAAGAGAGAGAUAAACUUGUUAUUGAAGUUGAGAGGUUAUCGGAUGAGAUGAAGAAAGCGGGGCUUCCAAAGGAGGUCUUGAGCUUAAUGAACGAUGCCAGGGAAGAAAAGAGGUCAGAAAAUUUGAGCAAGAUGGAGAAGAAGUUGUCUGAGACUCAGGAAAAGUUACAAGACAUGGAAGAAAAGUUUUCGAAGGAGAAACGAGCCUGGGCUGACGAAGUCGAGUCUCUGGAAACAGAUGUGAAAUCCCUUCAAUUGAUUUCGGAUGAAUCUGAAUCGAAAUUAAGAGAAGCGCAAUCCUCUUUACGGGAAUAUCGAGAAGAAAACAGGAAAUUAAAGCGGGAAUUGGAAAAGUUUGAAACCAGUAAGGAUAAUAAAGAUAACGAAUUUAAUGCUCCGGCCAAAACGAUCAAGGAAGUGAAAAAAGAGAACUCUGAACUUGUUAAACGAAAUACUGAACUUGAAGAGAAAUUAGGCUCAAUCGAUGAAAAGCUUAGUAUUAGUUUAAAGAAAGAAUUUUCCGUUACGGAGGAAAACGAGCGACUUCUGCGCGAAAAGAAAGCUUUGGAAAGUCGAAUUCUGGACGCUGAAGAGCAGGUUUCUAGCUCGAAGGGAAUGAUAACUGCUUUGCAAGCGAAAUUAGACGAUGCUUUGAACUCUCGCGAAGCUAAAUCAGACUGGGAUUCGAAUCGAAUUUAUGAGCUUGAGGAAAAAAUUAAGGAUUUGAGUAAAAAGCUUAAAGAUGUUGAAAGUGACCUCGCUGAAAGGGAUAGACAAAUCCAAAAUCUUAGUCUGGAGAAAGUUAACGAAAGCCGUGACGAUGAGAUAACUGAACUCGAAAACGAACUUGAAGAACAACGGGAAAUUAUAAAGGAGAAUGAGGAGAAAUUGAAAGAGAAAGAAAAAGAAAUCGAGAAAUUGAAGAAGAAAAUUAUCGAACUCAGUGAUAAGUUAAAGGAUAUGGAAACAUCGAGGAACAAAGUUGAAACGAAGUUAGCUGAGCAAGAGAAAACGAUUGCUUGCCACAAGGACGAGAUUAAAACUGCACGUGAUACGAUAAAUGAAUACAAAGAGAUAAGCGCUCGGAACCAUCACGAGAGAGAUAAAAUGAUGACUCGACUAAAAGAGCUCGAGACCCAAAUGGAAAUACUCACUCGUCAGGCGAGUGAAUACCGCGGAAAGCUCGUCGACGUCGAGGAGAAACCUAGUAGAGUCCGAGAAGUACAUUCCGAAUUGGUGGAGAAUACGUUUGCGGAAGAGGCACAAAUCGAGCCUCCUUCGAUUGAUAAAAGGAGUCGCGUCAAAGAACUCGAAGAUGAAAAUAGGGAGGUGAAGAGAAAAGCAGAAGAGUUAGAAAAGUCGCUAAAUGAUAAAAAUUUGAAGUUGGCGGCAAGUGAAGAAAAGGUGAUCGAGCUUGCAGAAGAAUUGGCAAAGAGAUUGAAACUCGAGCAGGAAACGGCGGAAUGGAUAGAGGGAGUCGAAGGGAACAUGGAAAGGACGGAGAGAGAUUUGAGCAGCGCAAAGAGUGCUCUGUUGGAGAAAGCAAAGGAAUUGGAGGACGAAAAAGGAAGGAUUCUUGACAUCGUUGAGUUGUCGCGAAAAUACGUCAGCAAGCUGGAAACUUCUCUUGCUGAAGAGAAAACACAGAAGGAAGAGCUGGAAAAGCGUUUGGCUGACUCAGGCACAGACGCCACAGAUGGCCCACGAAUCCAGGAACUGAUGGCGCGGUUACUGUGCAGUGAACGGGAACGAGACGCUGAGAGGCGGCGUGCGCAGGACUUGCAGCGGGACCUGGACGCGACACGGGUCAAGAUGAGAGAGGAGCUGGAGUCAGCCCAGCAAUCCCAUCAGCGGGACAUGGAGAAACUCAGCAACGACACCCUACAGGUAAGCGGUGCAGCCAAGACGCAGGGCGACGAGUUGCGUUUACGCCUGACUUCCCGCGUCAUCACCCUUCAGUCAGACAUCAGCGAGCUGAAGGCGGCGCACCAUGCAGCGAUAGAGAAGCUAAAAGCAAGGCAUAAGAAGGAGUUAGAGGACGCCCGCAGGGAGGCCAUACUGGAGACUUCCAUGAGGCAGGCCAUAGCGGAGGAGCCCUCCGAGGAGCUGAGCGCAACCAUGAGUGAUAUGGAGAAUGACAUGAAAGACAUGGUUGAAAGGUACGAAGCCCAGAUGGAGGUCCUAAAGCAGACCCAUCAUCGGGAGAUCGAGAAACUGAAAAGAACAAGUGACAGUCGCCAUGGAGACCAGGCGGAAGUGGAGCAGCUGCAAUGCGAGAUGGGCGAAAUGAGCGCUAAGUACAUGGAGGAGAUCGAACAGCUCAAGAUACGCCACGCAGAGGAACUAGACCAACUGAAAAAGGACAUGGCCUCAGUGAUCCAGGCGUCUGUUGGUAACUGCAGUACUCCCAGUAAAGACGCUGAUGGCACAGCCCAGCUAAAGGCACGCGUACGGGAACUUGAGGAAGAGUUAGACGAGCUGAAUGCCAAGUACGACAAAGAGCUCCGGAUCCAGCGAGAUGCCCAGCAGAAGGAACUUGAUCAGAUUCGCGUUGACAUGAUGACGGUGAUUCAGGCCAUCAAGUCACAGAAGUACGACCUCGAGCCUGACGAGGAACAGCUAGAGCAAGUCAGGCGGGAUUAUGAGGAGCAGAUCGCCCGGCUACAGGAGGAGCACCAGGCGGAACUCAGACUGCUAGGAGGUGCUCCCACCGUCACUGUCACCUCGGAGCCUGAAGACGAGUCCCAGCAGGCCGAGCGCAUCCGGGACCUUGAGCAUGAAGUCAGGCGCCUGCGCAGUAAGUACGAGUCUGAGCUUGCGCAAAAGGACAACAAGCACGAGGAGGACAUGAAUCAACUCAAGCUCGACAUGAUGGUGGCGAUACAAGUCGCACGUAGCGGGAACGCCUCCCCAGAGGAGGUCACUGAGAAGGGAGGCGAGAGUCAGGAGAAUGCCAUUCAGGCUGGCAUGAAGUUAUCAUUAGAGGCGGCCUUGCGAAGGGUCAAAGAACUUGAGGAGGAGAACGCAAAAAUCCGUAAACAGUCUGCCGAAGAGAAAGAUGAGCUAGAGAAGUCUGUCAAGAGACAAGAAGCUGCCACCAUGUUCGGACUCCGGCGGAACGAGGAAAUGAGCAACAAGAUUUACCGGAUGCAGAAAGAAAUAGAAGACAUUGACAGAAAAUACAUGCGCGAGAUUAACAUGUACAAGGACGCGUUUGAGCGCGAGAAAGAGUCCAAGAACCAGGAGGGCGACUCGCCAGACCUGUCGUCGGAUUACGAGGACCUGAAGCUAGAGAUGGACGAGCUCAAACUCAGGAUGGAGGACAUGGAGGUUCAACACGAGAACGAGCUGCGCGUGUACAAGGACAAGCUGGGCGAGGAGAAACUGCUAGAUGUGGAGGACUUACGACUUCAAGUGAAGGGACUUGAGGACAGCAUAGAGGAGAUGAAACUAGAACACACGAGAGAGUUAGAAGAGGUAAAAGAGGGUCAUGCUAAAAGCAUAGAGAACCUAAAAGAGGAGCAUCGAAAAGAGCUUCUCGAGGCAGAAGCCCGCAACCCGGAACCUAAGCAAGCGAGGGACGCCAGCUCCGAGCAACAGGAGAGCAAAGUUCGAGAUCUCGAAUUCAAGAUUGAGGAGCUCGAGUCACUAUUGGAUGUGAAACGCAGGAGACACAAAGAAGAGGUGAAGAGCCUAAAGGAGCGUCUGGAUGAGGAGAUUCAGCGGCACACGGAAGACGUGCGGGAGUACAAGGCGCGGCUGCUGGAUGGGGGACGGAGAGGGUCUGCUUCCUCUUCCGCCGGCGCCAGCGAGUAUUUCCGCAAACAGAUCAGUGAUCUAAGGGCGGAGAAUAGACGGCUAAAGACCGAGCUUGAAGCAAAAGACAGACAGACUCCACUUGUGGAUACGACGAAAGCAGUCGGCCCAUUAUCCUCUACCUCGGAAACUCGUCGCAGACAGUCGGAUUCUGACUCCGUACUCAGCCGACGGCUCGACCACACGAAGCCUCCUUUGAGGAAAACGACUUCAAACGACUCGAAACCGACGGAACCCGAUAGCUCCCGACGUACCUAUCGUGCCGCCAGUAUGGACGCUUCCACGACCGCGGGUUCAACUGGCAAAGGAUUAAGGGAUAGAUGGUCAGCGGAUAAAACCAAGUCUCUUACACGUCAGUCAUCCAAGACUGAAGUGAAGUCAGUAGCGGCUCGUGUUGCCAUGUUCCAGACCACACGUACGUAACCGCCUUAGUCCGACCGGUCGAUUUGAACACCACUGAGAACUGACACGAGUCAACCAAGAUUACGAACUUACAGACGAGAUUUCAUCUGAAGUUGAGUGGGCCUGAUCCUGAUUCUUGACUGCAGUACUGUUCCCUCAGCAGUCAUAGCAGAAGAAAACACAAGUGGAAUAAAGUUUGACAUGCUGGUCAUUCGACGUGAAAUUUGUUUAUUCAGGUGAUGAUUCUGGUAUCAUCACAGAGAAAGGAUUUCAUUGGUACUGCAUAUGCGGUGAAAUACAUGUUCCAUGGUGUGUUACUCAAAAUUAUUUGACAUGGCACACAACAAUGAAUACAUAUGACAUUAUUGGUUGAGAAAAAAGACAAUGGUGCAUCAAAAAGACAUGGUUACUGUUGUCCUAGUUGGCAUGCCAUGAAAAAUUGGAUUUGGUAUAGGUAUUGAAGAGCACAUUGAGACAUUGGUGGUUGCCACAGGAUAUUGCCAGCACAUCCAGUCAUUGUCCAGGAACCAACAUAAAAACAUUUAGGUAGCAGCUUUGCAGAUCACUGGGAUUGCCAUGCAUGGCUUGCUUGCAUAGUUGUGUGACAUUCUGGAACUGUGUCAAAAUGCUGAUGGUUGUAUAGCAAGAAUGGUUGUGCUAUGACCAUAAAUAUAUGUUUCUCGCACAUUUUAGCUUGUAUCAUUAUAUUAUAAUGAUAUAAAAACAUGGUGACACACAUUUGGUCUCCCAAAAGAUCGCCCCUCUACUGAUUGACUUACUGUGCCAUGAGUAAAGAUUAAUUAUUAACUUAAAAUCUUCACAUCUCUGUCUAUUAAUAUUUAUAUCAAUGUUACAUAAUUUUGGGGAUAAUUUGUAAUCAAAUUGCCAAAAGAAAUUGUUGCAAAUUUAAAACACUAAUUAAGCCACUUUUCACUCAUAUAUUCCCUGAACUUUCCUGCAUAUAACUUGGAUGGAAAGCCUGUAUCUUAUAAACCACAAGCUAUCCUUGUUUUGGUACAUGUACAUUGCCAUAUUUUUGUAAAUUCCCUGAAGUUAUUUUUGUAGAUGUAAAGUUGUGUAUAGCUAUUAAUAUAAACCAUGAAAGCUUAAUAAUAUACUUUAAGCUACAUUUCCAUUAUAAAAAAAUAAAAGAAGAAAACCUUGA